CCCAGAUGACAGGGGGAGAGGGGUGGGGAGCAGCAGCUUUCUGCUAAGCCGCCCUUUCAGGGUGGAGUGUGUUUGUCUGGUUCUGCCAGAUACUGCUGGCUCAGAGGAACUCAUUCCCACCCUCUGCUUAGUUACCUCUUUCAUGUAAGCCUUCCCCUGGUCUGCUGACCACCUUUGGCAAUUCACAUGCCUUACCUACCAGCAGCACUUCUGACGUCAUUACAUGCACCAACACCUUCAACACCACUUCUAAUCCUGCCAGCACCUUGUCUCUUUAUACCCAGUUUCCAACCCACAUUUUCUCUCCUCCCUCCCCACAGGCUCACACCCAGCUUCCACUGCCAAACAGACACCCCAAAUCAGCUCAACUCCUCUGCUGAUGAACUAACUCCAUGCCAAGGGUACAGCCUGGAGAAGAGCACACCUCUGAGUGAUUCCUUGUGCUCUGAAGAUGGCACUGCAGCUGUCGCUCAGCAUUUUGACUGUCUCUAGGAACAUCAGAGCCUGAUGAGAAACCCCAGGGAACAGCCUACAGAGUCAGAGGGAGGGAUAUGGUACGGAAGAGGACGAGGACUCACUGAAGAAGGCUCCAAAAUGUUACAAGACUGAGUGUGUAGAGUUAACUCCUCAGCCUUGACCACAGCCCAUGUGAUGGGCCAGAGUCCCUAAGGUGCUCCUAGGACUGGUUUAGGAGCCUAGAGGCCAGCAUGAUGGGCAGAGGAUUUCCUUCUAUAGCUGCCUGGUGCACAGGCUCCAAGGCCACCAAGCUCUUACCUCCUGGGCGCUCGUGCCUCCCAUCCGUAUGCAGCAACAUGGCGAUGGGCAUGCCCACAUUCUUUGACCUGCCGGCCACCACCACAUUUUUCCCCAGCGUUGGG